rnacentral:tRNA from 3 species
UCCGCCCUGGUGUAAUGGCAGCACUCCGGCUUUUGGUGCCGUGUGGUCUAGGUUCGAAUCCUAGGGGCGGAG